GUUAAGCAUACUGUUAAGAGCGUGGAAUUUUACAUAACAAGAGCCUUUGUUCCAACAGCUGGUUUUUCAUCUCUGCUUCUCUGCAUCAUCACGUUCUUUAGGAAGAAACAAGAAAAGGUUCCAGCUAUGGACUAUCUUGCCCUGCUGCUGACUUCGAAGAAGAUUCUGUUUCUGCUACUGUAAAGGAUGUCCUUUCUAAGCAGGGGAUUUUCGUCAUUAAUGUGGCCUUAAGAUCUCCAUCCAUAAAAGAAGUGGUUGUAUCAAGGAUGAGAACGGUGUACCAAUACUGCACAUUGUUGCACGUUUCGUCGCUCCCUGGCGUUUGCACUUAGAUAAAUGAGAAGGUUCAAGCUUGGGGGGAAGACAUCAAGCAAACACCUUUCAGUUUCAGUGUUCAAGCAAGCUCAAGUACACCUCAUAAGUUAUAUGGCAGAAAAGCUCACCGAGCCAGCUACUAAUUUCGGGUAUUCAAUAAUCCGAGGGAGCGGCAUUUCACCUUUGAGGAGAUAGAUGAAGUUCGAGAAAUGUUGGCAAACUUCAUUACCAGUGAUUGUCUUUGAUAUUUUCUUGUACUGAAUCUUAAAUUAUGGAUGCUAGUUUUUCAUAUGAUUGUAAUGUAAUCGACUUUUAUAUUCACAAUUAUAUACUAUUUAAUUUAAUUAUCUAUAUAAUUGGAUACUUUUUAUGUGAC